CCUAGGCUCUCAGAGGCGAUGAAGGACGUGAUAAGCUGCGAAAAGCUGCGGGGACAGGCACAUACUGAUUGAUCCGCAGAUAUCCGAAUGGGGCAACCCGGCAUAUUGAAGAUAUGUCACCAGAGAUGGAGCAAACCCGGAGAACUGAAACAUCUAAGUACCCGGAGGAGAAGAAAACAAAAGUGAUUCCGCUAGUAGUGGCGAGCGAACGCGGAAUAGCCCAAACCAAUGUUGUUACGGCAAUAUUGGGGUUGUAGGACCACG
rnacentral:rRNA from 17 species